ACAUGCCUACAACAUAACAUUAAUGCACCGGAUCCCAUUAGAACUUUGUAGUUAAGCAUGCUCAUGCUAGAGUAGUACUGGGAUGGGUGACCGCCCGGGAAGUCCUAGUGUUUUACAUGCC
rnacentral:rRNA from 1 species